rnacentral:rRNA from 1 species
GACGAACGCUGGCGGCGUGCCUAAUACAUGCGAGUAGAACGCUGAAGGAGGAGCUUGCUCUUCUGGAUGAGUUGCGAACGGGUGAGUAACGCGUAGGUAACCUGCCUGGUAGCGGGGGAUAACUAUUGGAAACGAUAGCUAAUACCGCAUAACAGUAGAUGUUGCAUGACAUUUACUUAAAAGGUGCAAUUGCAUCACUACCAGAUGGACCUGCGUUGUAUUAGCUAGUUGGUGGGGUAACGGCUCACCAAGGCGACGAUACAUAGCCGACCUGAGAGGGUGAUCGGCCACACUGGGACUGAGACACGGCCCAGACUCCUACGGGAGGCAGCAGUAGGGAAUCUUCGGCAAUGGACGGAAGUCUGACCGAGCAACGCCGCGUGAGUGAAGAAGGUUUUCGGAUCGUAAAGCUCUGUUGUAAGAGAAGAACGAGUGUGAGAGUGGAAAGUUCACACUGUGACGGUAGCUUACCAGAAAGGGACGGCUAACUACGUG